UGCAGUCGAGCGAGAAGUUCCUUCGGGAAUGGAGAGCGGCGAAAGGGUGAGUAACGUAUGAAUGACCUACCUUCAAGAGGGGGAUAACAGUUCGAAAGGGCUGCUAAUACCGCAUAAGGUUGCAUUGGUGCAUGCUGGUGUAAUUAAAGUGGGGGAUCUUCGGACCUCAUGCUUGGAGAGGGGUUUGUAUUCUAUUAGCUAGUUGGUGGGGUAAUGGCCUACCAAGGCGAUGAUGGAUAGCCGGCCUGAGAGGGUGGACGGUCACACGGGCACUGAGACACGGGCCCGACUCCUACGGGAGGCAGCAGGAAGGAAUAUUGGGCAAUGGGCGCAAGCCUGACCCAGCGACGUCGUGUGGAGGAAUAAGGCCUUCGGGUUGUAAACUCCUAACAAGUGUUAGUAAGGUGCAGAUGCUAAUAUCGUCUGUAAUUGAAAAAGGCACAAGAUGAAGUCAUGGCUAACUCCGUGCCAGCAGCCGCGGUAAU
rnacentral:rRNA from 1 species